UCACGGAUGGCCGAGUGGUCUAGGCCUUAGACUUUUACUUAAGGGGUCAGUGGUUCGAAUUCAGUGAA
rnacentral:tRNA from 1 species